UCAUAUUCCUGCAGAUGGAAGUCAGUCAGCUCAUGGCACGCAGAGAGAUUGCACUGUAAAUGUGGAGGGAAAUGUCCCAUUAUAGAGACACUGGCUGACAGGUCUUCAUCGUUUAUCGAGGUAGGCUAAUCUCUCAAAGGCGAGAGUGAGGGUGAUGUGAAAGCACCAUCAAUCAUCAUGUAAGAUCAUGUUAGCACAAGUGAAAAGUGCGACGGCAGCAAGUAAUGUACCGGGAUUUAUAGAGACUCCCUCCUUUUAAAAUCAGUCCAUAGUUCACCCUCAUUAACAUCAUUUCAAUCAACAAGUAAUAGUCUAUAAAUACAAGUCUAUUUAAUAUAAGUCCUGAUAUACAAGUAAAGGUUUAUGAUGCAUAUUUGUGGUUGUGGGUUGUAUUACAUGCUGGUGCCCAAAGUAUCUCUAUUACUGAUACUAUUGUGAAUAGGAUCAAUAACCAACCGUCCAUCACACUUCUCAUAUUACAUUACAUUUUGGGCACAUGAACACCUUGUUAGUUCAGAGCAUUCACACAUUAAUAUAUUUAUUUCCCAUAAAAAUAAUACAGAACUAUUACUGAGGAACACGUCUUUCCCUUACACAUUACAGAUAUUACACGCUGCUUUUAAUAAUAAAAAAAUGGAAUUACUCGAUAUUUGGACAGAAACCAACUUUUGUGUUACAGUGAACACUCGGGGGGGGGGCGGUGUUUCUGCCAGACUCUACUACUGCCUCCAUGUGGCUUUAAUAAAGAAAGGCUCAGACUGUAGAAAACAAAUGAGCUUAAGUCUGUGCAUUAAUACCAGUUGAGUAUAUAAAGUGUGUAGGUGGAGGGAAAGCAUUAGAGCCGCAAUAAAACUCUGAGCUGCAGGAUUACUAAACAAACAACGAACAAAGUUAGAACAUUAAACAGAAAGUCUGGCAUUAGGAAAACAUCAGGAUCCUUGUUUUAAAUAUAAAACGAGGAGGAAUUAUUAGUUAAUAUCUUGCAGAGAGAAACAUCCUGAUCACUCAAUUAGCUUUGGCAUAAAAGGUGAAACGAAACAGAAACACACACACACACACAGAGGCAAACUCAAACAUUUCAUUGUACAAUAAACCUUUAAUAAAUAGUUUGUCAUUAGUUUCCCAUAUUUACAUAAUAACCACCAUUUACUUAUGUUGCCAUACUCAUUUCUUGGCUAAUUUUAGGCACACAGAGAGGGGGUUCAGGCCACAAACCACGUCGUACUAAAAACAGGAGUGGCUAGCAGGUAAGUCUUGAGAAAUAUAUAAUAAUAAUAAUUGCACCAUACAACCAAAUAGACCAAGAGGCGGCCGUCUCCUUGAGCAAUAAAUAUAUACAUUUGCUGUACGUACAGGUGAUUUUCGUACAUUUACAGUCGUCUGCUUGAAAGUUGUACGAGUGCACAUGGGGCUGGUGCAGAAUCUUACCAAUUUAAGUAGGAUCUGAAUUUAUGGGUUUACCAAUGUGUUGGUCCAAUAAAUGAAAAAUAAAAAAAGAAACUGUGUGAUAUUUAGAGUUUAAAUCAACACCAAUGGCCCCCUGUCUAGUAACACCCCCUCUGAAAUAAUAAUAAAAAAACAAACUAUGACAGGUUAAGUCAAAAAUGUUGAGGAUAUAGUGUGGUCAACAUGUACAGCUUGGCUUGGAACAUUCAGUGACUUUUGUUAUGAUCCACUGAUAAAUCUGGGAGAAAAAUAAGCUUAUCAAAUGCAACUAACCGC
rnacentral:lncRNA from 15 species